GUCCUUUUAGUUUAAUAAUAAAACUUUGGUUUGUGGGAUCAAUAAUCUUUUUAUAAGAAUGGGCU
rnacentral:tRNA from 1 species